AUGUACAAGGUGUACACGCCGGUUCCGAGCCGUGCCGUCCACACCACCUGACCAGCGCUCGCGACGUUCUGUCAGCC
rnacentral:sRNA from 1 species